rnacentral:rRNA from 1 species
GACAGCCAGGAUGUUGGCUUAGAAGCAGCCAUCAUUUAAAGAAAGCGUAAUAGCUCACUGGUCGAGUCGGCCUGCGCGGAAGAUGUAACGGGGCUAAACCAUGCACCGAAGCUGCGGCAGCGACGCUUAUGCGUUGUUGGGUAGGGGAGCGUUCUGUAAGCCUGCGAAGGUGGCCUGUGAGGGUUGCUGGAGGUAUCAGAAGUGCGAAUGCUGACAUAAGUAACGAUAAAGCGGGUGAAAAGCGCGCCCG